rnacentral:rRNA from 1 species
AUGAAAAGCAACAGGGCCCCGGGCCCGGAUAAUAUUCCUGUUGAGUACCAGCAUUGCUGGGAUAUAGUGAAAGAGGAUAUUAUGAGAUCGUUUACUGCUUUUCAUGCAGGAGAACUUGAUGUUAGUAGAUUGAAUUGUGGCAUUAUAACUUUACUGCCUAAGAUCAAUGGGGCCAAUAAGAUCCAGCAGUUUAGGCCAAUUUGCUUGCUUAGAUGUCCCUACAAACUGAUCACUAAGGUGCUUGAUAACAGAGUGGCCCCUUUUGCUGACAAACUGUUUAGUAGACACCAAAAUGCAUUUAUUAAACAAAGAAACAUCAUGGAUGGAGUAUUAUCUUUGCAUGAGAUUUUGCAUCAUACUUACAUCAAAAAUAGGGUGGGCAUUGUUAUUAAGCUCGAUUUUGAGAAAGCAUAUGACAAGGUGAACUGGGACUUUCUGUUGGAAUGUCUCGAGAUGAGAGGGUUUGGUGUUGGAAAUAUGCCCUAG